rnacentral:rRNA from 1 species
UACGUAGGGGGCAAGCGUUGUCCGGAAUCAUUGGGCGUAAAGAGCGUGUAGGCGGCCCGGUAAGUCCGCUGUGAAAGUCCAGGGCUCAACCCUGGGAAUGGCCGGUGGAUACUGUCGGGCUCGAGUCCGGAAGAGGAGUGUGGAAUUCCGUGGUGUAGCGGUGAAAUGCGCAGAUAUCAGGAGGAACACCAAUGGCGAAGGCAGCACUCUGGGACGUGACUGACGCUGAGACGCGAAAGCGUGGGGAGCAAACAGG